rnacentral:tmRNA from 1 species
GGGGGCGAUUUGGAUUCGACGUGGGUCGCGAAACUCCAGGUGCAUGUCGAGGUGCAGGGUACCUCGUUAAACCAUCUGCAAACCUUUAGUUGCCAACGACGACAACUACGCACUAGCUGCUUAAAAACCAGCUUAGAGCCUUCCGCCCGAAGCGUGCCUGUGCGCAUCGGAUCACGGGAGUCACAUUACACAGGAUCGCGUGGAUGCACGUUCGGGGCUGAAGCGUUAAAACUUUUCCGGACUGGUCGUAGGUCUUCCCUGUCUGUCGGGUAGCUUGCGACAAGAUUAAUGACAGAAUAAGCAUGUAGACCCUGUUGCGUAGGGCUUGCGGACGCGGGUUCGAAACCCGCCGCCUCCACCA